rfam:Myotis lucifugus cont2.29440, whole genome shotgun sequence.
GGUGGUUCUCAGGUGAUGCACCCUGGAAUCGGGCUCCCUCCUCUUUAGUUCCAGGUGCAUCACCCAAGAACCACA